rnacentral:rRNA from 1 species
GAUGAACGCUGGCGGCGUGCCUAACACAUGCAAGUCGAACGGAGUCGCUUUGGAAAUCUCUUCGGAGAUGGAAUUCUCGACUUAGUGGCGGACGGGUGAGUAACGCGUGAGCAAUCUGCCUUUAAGAGGGGGAUAACAGUCGGAAACGGCUGCUAAUACCGCAUAAAGCAUUAAAUUCGCAUGUUUUUGAUGCCAAAGGAGCAAUCCGCUUUUAGAUGAGCUCGCGUCUGAUUAGCUAGUUGGCGGGGUAACGGCCCACCAAGGCGACGAUCAGUAGCCGGACUGAGAGGUUGAACGGCCACAUUGGGACUGAGACACGGCCCAGACUCCUACGGGAGGCGGCAGUGGGGAAUAUUGCGCAAUGGGGGAAACCCUGACGCAGCAACGCCGCGUGAUUGAAGAAGGCCUUCGGGUUGUAAAGAUCUUUAAUCAGAGACGAAACAAAUGACGGUACCUGAAGAAUAAGCACCGGCUAACUACGUG